UACAGAGGGUGCGAGCGUUAAUCGGAAUUACUGGGCGUAAAGGGUGCGUAGGUGGUUACGUAAGUUAGAUGUGAAAGCCUCGGGCUCAACCUGAGAAUUGCGUUUAAUACUGUGUAGCUAGAGUGUUGUAGAGGUAAGUGGAAUUUCCGGUGUAGCGGUGAAAUGCGUAGAUAUCGGAAGGAACACCAGUGGCGAAGGCGACUUACUGGACAACAACUGACACUGAGGCACGAAAGCAUGGGGAG
rnacentral:rRNA from 1 species